UCGAUUGAGUUUGAUCAUGGCUCAGAACGAACGCUGGCGGCAGGCCUAACACAUGCAAGUCGAACGCCGUAGCAAUACGGAGUGGCAGACGGGUGAGUAACGCGUGGGAACAUACCCCUCGGUUCGGAAUAACUCAGGGAAACUUGAGCUAAUACCGGAUACGUCCGAGGUUUUAAUCGACCUCGGAGAAAGAUUUAUCGCCGGAGGAUUGGCCCGCGUCUGAUUAGCUUGUUGGUGAGGUAAUGGCUCACCAAGGCGACGAUCAGUAGCUGGUCUGAGAGGAUGAUCAGCCACAUUGGGACUGAGACCCGGACCAAACUCCUACGGGAGGCAGCAGUGGGGAAUAUUGGACAAUGGGCGAAAGCCUGAUCCAGCCAUGCCGCGUGAGUGAUGAAGGCCUUAGGGUUGUAAAGCUCUUUUACCCGGGAAGAUAAUGACGGUACCGGGAGAAUAAGCCCCGGCUACUUCGUGCCAGCAGCCGCGGUAAUACGAAGGGGGCUAGCGUUGUUCGGAAUUACUGGGCGUAAAGCGCACGUAGGCGGAUCUUUAAGUCAGGGGUGAAAUCCCGAGGCUCAACCUCGGAACUGCCUUUGAUACUGGGGAUAUCGAGUCCGGGAGAGGUGAGUGGAACUGCGAGUGUAGAGGUGAAAUUCGUAGAUAUUCGCAAGAACAC
rnacentral:rRNA from 1 species